rnacentral:rRNA from 1 species
GUAGGUGCCAAGCGUUAUCCGGAUUUACUGGGUGUAAAGGGAGCGUAGACGGUAAUGCAAGUCUGGAGUGAAAACCCGGGGCUCAACCCCGGGACUGCUUUGGAAACUGUGUAACUAGAGUGUCGGAGAGGCAAGUGGAAUUCCUAGUGUAGCGGUGAAAUGCAUAGAUAUUAGGAGGAACACCAGUGGCGAAGGCGGCUUGCUGGACGAUGACUGACGUUGAGGCUCGAAAGCGUGGGGAGCAAACAGGAUUAGAUACCCUGGUAGUCCACGCCGUAAACGAUGGCCACUCGGCCUUUGCGGGCGGAAUCUCCGUUCGUGGGGGCCUUAGCUAACGCGGGAAGUGGCCCGCCUGGGAACUACGAGCGCAAGCUUA